rnacentral:rRNA from 1 species
UACGUAGGGGGCGAGCGUUGUCCGGAUUUAUUGGGCGUAAAGAGCUCGUAGGCGGCUUGGCAAGUCGGGUGUGAAACCUCCAGGCUCAACCUGGAGACGCCACUCGAUACUGCCAUGGCUAGAGUCCGGUAGGGGACCACGGAAUUCCUGGUGUAGCGGUGAAAUGCGCAGAUAUCAGGAGGAACACCGGUGGCGAAGGCGACUACCUGGACAAUUGCUGACACUCAGGCACGAAAGCAUGGGGAGCAAAAGGG